AUGCAUACUGUUGCAUUCAACGGUACUGAUAACCUAGAGGAUGUUAUGAACCGACCGUCCUCUUCCCAAACCAUGCUCACAGAAUACUUUAGGAUGAAUGAGGUGGACCCUUAUGCACGAAACUUCUUGUAUAAAGAGUUCCCAGAAUUCUUUCGAUGGAUUAAGGGUAAGAAAAAGUGGCAGAAAAGAAGCCAAAGGGGGCGCGGGCAAGUUGGAAGGAUUGUUUAUGCACAUGCUGCUGAUGGUGAAAGGUACUUUCUGAGAGUGCUUCUGAAUCAUAGAAGUGGUGCCACUUCAUAUGAGGAUUUGAGAACUGUAAAUGGAAGGCUCUGCUCGACUUUCAGGGAAGCGUGUGAGCUCAUGGGCCUAAUAGAGACUGACGAAUCUCUUGACGACUGCUUGACCGAGUCUGCUACUUUCCAGAUGCCAUGUGCUCUAAGAAGGCUUUUUGCAACUAUUCUUGUAUUCUGUGAGGCGACCAACACCCGUGCAUUGUGGGAGAAGCACCUGGGGUCAAUGUCUGAGGAUUACCGUCGUACCCAGUCCAACCAGGCUGCGCUGGAACAGAUGGUCCUUAGAGACAUCUGGGAUUUGGUGCAUUCGAUGGGCACAUAUAUUAAAAGCUAUGGCCUCCCGGAGCUGGUUGAGACCGGUGAUGGUUCUGGUGACCUCCUAAGGGAGGUUCGAGAGGAGUUGUUGGUCGGUGUGGAUCAAGAGCAUUUAGAUCUGUAUACAUCCCUGAACAUUGAGCAGAGGGCUGGGUUUGAGGAAAUCUUGGAUCACGUGGUGAACAAUAGGAAACAGGUUUUCUUUGUUGAUGGUCCUGGUGGCACGGAUAAGACUUAUCUCUACAAGGCGCUUCUUGCUAAAGUGCGUUCAUUGGGUAAAAUAGCUAUUGCAACCACGACAUCCGGAAUAGCCGCAUCAAUCAUGCCCGGUGGACGUACCGCCCACUCCAGGUUCAAAAUUCUGGUUAAGCUCAUGGAUAAUAGCAUCUGCAGCUUCACCAAGCAGAGUGGUACUGCGGAGUUGCUUCAGAGAGCAUCUCUCGUAAUUUGGGAUGAGGUUGCCAUGACGAAGCGUCAAGCAGUUGAGGCACUUGAUAGGUCACUACAGGAUAUCAUGGGAUGUGUUAUGCCAUUUGGGGGGAAGGUUGUGGUGUUUGGAGGGGAUUUUAGGCAGGUCCUUCCCGUGGUCCCGCGUGGGACAAGAGCACAAAUCACUGACGCCACGAUGCAAAGAUCAUAUCUAUGGGAGAGAAUUAGACAAAUACGCCUCACGCGUAAUAUGAGAGCACAGACUGACCCGUGGUUCUCCAAAUACCUCUUGAGAAUUGGCAAUGGAACGGAGGAGACGAUCGGUGAUGAUUAUGUACGUCUGCCUGAUGACAUUGUGAUAGGUUACACACCUGGUGACGCACCAGUCAUGAAGCUUAUUGAACACGUGUUCCCAUCUCUUCAUGAGAACGCAUCACCCGGUGCCUACAUGAGCACACAUGCUAUUCUUUCUACCAAGAAUGAGCACGUGGACAACCUAAAUGCAAAGAUGAUUGACAGAUUUCCUGGCCAAGAAAAGGUAUACUAUAGCUUUGAUUCUAUCGAUGAUGAUACACGCAAUAACUACCCAAUUGACUAUCUGAACAACCUCACUCCAAAUGGCUUGCCUCCCCAUAUUUUGAAAGUUAAAGUUAAUUGUCCUGUCAUUCUGCUCUGA
rnacentral:rRNA from 1 species